rnacentral:sRNA from 1 species
GUCCGAUCUCCGGAUGAAGACGUUCAGCAGAGAGCCGACGAAGAUCGCAUCCUCGAGAUUGUAGAGCUCUUCC